UUCAUUUUUCCAUACUCUAAUUUACUGUUAUUUUGAACCAAAUAAGUUCAGUACACCAUUACGGUAGUAUUUGAACUAUAUAUUCAUAUUAUUCAUCUUCUUUCCUUUUACAUUAUUUUAUUAAGCUGUUUGUUCUAUUCUAAUUGGACCAAAACCAUAGCCAAUUAAAGGGCUUUUACAUCAUUCCUAUCGAUAGCUUUGAGGCGGUGUAAGUUUGCUUGGUCUGAUCUCACCUUCCUCUGUGCCGACUUCCUUCUCCUAUAAAUAGAAUGUUAUUGCUUCGGUUUUCUUCGCUGGCGAGAUGAAACGUUUUCUAUCGGGGUCUACUCUCUCUCAGGAGCUUAUCACAGUUGUGGUUUCUUGUGUUAAUAUAUCGGAGCAAUGCUUUGGAAUCCAGGUAGGGGAAAUACGGCAGACCUUUACGGAGAUUGGCUUUAUUAAAUUUUGUGAAGCAUUAUAUUAUUAUUGUUAUUGAUCUUGUUGGUUGAUUAAUGUGAUCUGGUUUAUUAAUUGGACAAAUACUGCUCUUGCGUGUUUACUUGUUAUUGGUUAUGGAAUUAUUGGUGAAAUGCUAUUCGUUGAGAAUAUGUUGUGGUACAUGUGAACAAUGAAAUGAGAUUAUUUGUGCAUUACUCAUGUAUGAGAAUAGUUGGAAGUUCGGUGUUGAGAAAGGCACUGGAAAUGAGGGUAGUUGGAAAGAAUCUUUUGUGUAGUUGAGCCAAACUCUUAGCAGGUACCAGGUCUCAGGUGAGCCCACAGUGCACAGAUUCUUUAAGGGUAAUUCGGGACUGGCGACGAAGAGUUUGAGCAAGAUGACUAACAAAAGGGGAAAUUGGGAUGAUUGAGUUACAGGGGGUUAAUUUGUAUAUUAAAACAUUCGAACCACCACUGCAGAGGUAAAAUGCACGGUAUGGGACGUGCAGGUCCGCGUGUUUUAUUACAUGAAUUAACGGGUAGAGAUGAAGAGUAUUGUAUCGCACUCAUGCAUUGUUGAUGAUAAUAAUUUGGUACUUGAUUACAUGAUUUUAUGACACUUAAUUUAAUAUUGUCAAUUUACUGUGAUAAGGUUAUGUCCCUACUGAGCUGUUGAAGCUCACCCCUCUAUUGUUAUGCAGGUUUACGAACUGAACAAUCUAAGAGGGUAGACGGGAUGAGAUCGGAUUAAGUGUGAGGAUAGAAUUUUGUAUUUCUUUAUUUUAGCCUUGUAAAGAAUUAUUGAGUUAUUUUAAAUAAGAAGAAUUUUAUUUUUCA